AAAAUAUAAUGCGAAAAACAAAUAAGUGCAAAAAUAAAAUAAAUUGUAAAAACACAUUAAAACAUAAAAAUAAGUAAAGCAAACCGAAGAAAUGCUUAAGUACAAACAUGGAAGAACGUGCAUCAAAAUGCACUGAUCAAAUUCUCCCACACUUGAACUUUUGCACUCCGAGCAAAACGAAAAACAAAACAAAGAAAGCACAAAUACAUCAUCAGUUACUCAUCCUAGGCUACAAG
rnacentral:lncRNA from 1 species